GACGAACGCUGGCGGCGUGCUUAACACAUGCAAGUCGAACGAAGUGGCGAACGGGUGAGUAACGCGUAAUCAACCUGCCCUUCAGAGGGGGACAACAGUUGGAAACGACUGCUAAUACCGCAUACUGAAGGAGGGGAUUGCGUCUGAUUCGCUAGUUGGAUGGGUAACGGCCCACCAAGGCGAUGAGCAGUAGGCGGGUUGAGAGGAUGAACGGCCACAUUGGGACUGAGACACGGCCCAGACCCCUACGGGAGGUAGCAGGGGGGAAUCUUCCGGAAUGGACGAAAGUCCUACGGAGGAACGGCGCGUGAGGUAUGACGGCCUUCGGGUUGGAAAGCUUUGGUAAUCGGGACGCGGGACCGGAAUAGAAAGCCACGGCUAACUACGUGCCAGCAGCCGCGGUAAUAC
rnacentral:rRNA from 1 species